UACGUAGGGUGCGAGCGUUAAUCGGAAUUACUGGGCGUAAAGCGUGCGCAGGUGGUCAUGCAAGACAGAUGUGAAAUCCCCGGGCUUAACCUGGGAACUGCAUUUGUGACUGCACGGCUAGAGUGCGGCAGAGGGGGGUGGAAUUCCGCGUGUAGCAGUGAAAUGCGUAGAGAUGCGGAGGAACAUCGAUGGCGAAGGCAGCCCCCUGGGCUAACACUGACGCUCAGGCACGAAAGCGUGGGGAGCAAACAGG
rnacentral:rRNA from 1 species